ACAUAGGACAGAGAGAGAGGGGAUUGGCCACAGUGGCGCAUGAUAGCGACGGGUCCUCUUUAUUUGUGUAUUUUUAUGCAAAGGGUAAUUUAUUUAAAAUUUAAAAAUUUAUUUUAGGUAAUUUAUACAUUUUAUUGUUUUUGUACACAAAGUCCAUACAUUCCAUUUUUUUGACAUUUUUACUCUUAAUAACAUAUUUCAUUGCACAAAAUAUCAUUCUAAUCUAAUUUUUGAUUUACAUGAAGGAUAUUCUCAUCUUAGUCCUUGUUUGAUUCCCAUUUUAGGAAAAAUAAUGUAUUUUGAAUAGUAGAUUGAUGGAGCAUGUGUGAAUAAAAUUAAAAAAAUAUUUUGAAUUUGCGUAUUAUAUUAUUUUAUUGAAGAAUAUGUGGUUGAAAAUAAGUUUUGAAAAAAUGAAUUUUUAGAAGAAUGAGAAUCAAAUAAGGAUUUAAAUUUUUUCGCCUCGUUUAGCCUCUAAUAAUUUUGAUUAUAAGGGGGGAAUUUUUUUUUUUAAAUGAAUAGUUAUAAAAGAAUGAAAAAAAUUUUAUUUACGUAUAAUAUUAUUUUUAUUGAAAAUAGUAUAGUUGAAAACAGGAAAGAGAAAAUUUUAAUUUGAUGAGAUUUAAUGAGGCUUCAUCUUUGUUCCCCAUUUGUACCCAUUUUUUCCUCUAUUAAACCUUUGAUAAAUAUUGAUUUGACUUGUGGUUUCAAGUCAGCUUAGUCGAUAAACGACAAUGGAUGGAAGAAGAUUCAAAUAUUAAACCCCUGUUUGAGCCUCUAUUAUUUUACAUUCUUUUCCAUUAUUUUUCUAAAGUGCUCAUUUUCAACUAUACAUUAUUCAUAAAAAUAAUAUUACACGCAAAUAAAAAAAAAUUUCUUAUUUUUUAACCACAUAUUCUCUAUCAAUCACUAUUUCAAAAUAUAUUACUUCAAAUUAAUGGGGCUCAAACGGGGCCUAAAUUUUUUAUCUGUAUUUUGGUAAAUUUUUAGUUCAAAAUUUGGUUUAAUGUAGGGGUGGAAGCACAAGGAACAGCUUGGAACUAUAGGGGCUCCCAUGGAUGCUGCAGGUUCACUAUCAUUAGCCAUGAAAGAAGAUGGAAGUGUGAAUAUCCAAGUAAGUAUAAUUUUGUUUAUUCUUUUUUCCAAUGUGAGUAUAGAAUGAGAUUUUGGCAUUAGUUAUGAUUAGUUUGUUAAUUCUUAAUAAUUUGAUUUUGUUGAUUUUUGAUUUUAGGUAAUUACCACAAAACGUCACCAAGUUUCAUCCUUGACAACAUUUGAAUUCUGGUACUCGUUUCCCGUUUGGGACACCAAGAAUUUCAUCAGUUAAUUAUAAUAAAGUUAGCUCCUUACUUUGUAGCUUAUGUUAUAGCAAUAAAAUUCCAUUUCGUUUCAUCACCACAGAAUUGUUGUGCUGCAACUUCCACCAGCAUUUUCUGUUUAUUUUAAACCGUACAUUUGUUGACUUGAAC
rnacentral:lncRNA from 1 species